rnacentral:tRNA from 1 species
GUCAGGAUGGCCGAGUGGUCCAAGGCGCUGCGUUCAGGUCGCAGGCCGGUCUUCCGGGCGUGUGUUCGAAUCCCACUUCUGACA